AUGCUUACCUGGCAGAGGAGAUACCAUGAUCAGGAAAAUGGUUUUCUCAGGGCGAGGCUUAUUCAUUGCACUUUGGGUUUGCUGAUCCCUGCGAUUUCCCCAAAUGUAGGAAACUCGACUGCAAAAUUUGUGAUAGUGGGGGACUCCGUUCGCGCUGUUCCCUG
ensembl:snRNA U1 U1 spliceosomal RNA